UAAGACGAAGGGGGCUAGCGUUGUUCGGAAUUACUGGGCGUAAAGGGCGCGCAGGCGGUCUUGCAAGUCGGGCGUUAAAGACCUGGGCUUAACCCGGGGAAUGCGCUCGAUACUGCAAGGCUUGAGAUCGAGAGAGGAGAGUGGAAUUCCCAGUGUAGAGGUGAAAUUCGUAGAUAUUGGGAAGAACACCGGUGGCGAAGGCGGCUCUCUGGCUCGAUUCUGACGCUGAGGCGCGAAAGCGUGGGGAGCAAACAGGAUUAGAUACCCUGGUAGUCCACGCCGUAAACGAUGUGUGCUAGACGUUGGCAGGCCUAGCCUGUCAGUGUCGCAGCUAACGCGUUAAGCACACCGCCUGGGGAGUACGGCCGCAAGGUUA
rnacentral:rRNA from 1 species